rnacentral:rRNA from 1 species
UACGGAGGGUGCAAGCGUUGUCCGGAAUCACUGGGCGUAAAGGGCGCGUAGGCGGCUCAUGAAGGCUGUGGUGAAAGUCCGGGGCUCAACCUCGGAUCAGCCGUGGCGACUCGUGGGCUGGAGCACUGUAGAGGCGGGUGGAAUUCCGGGUGUAGCGGUGGAAUGCGUAGAGAUCCGGAAGAACACCAGUGGCGGAAGGCGGCCCGCUGGGCAGUGGCUGACGCUGAGGCGGCGACAGCGUGGGGAGCAAACGAGG